AGAUGGUGUCCAUCAGUUCGGCUGGUCCGGUGACAGGUGCUGCAUGGCUGUCGUCAGCUCGUGUCGUGAGAUGUUGGGUUAAGUCCCGCAACGAGCGCAACCCUCAUCCUUAGUUGCCAUCACGUUUGGGUGGGCACUCUAAGGAAACUGCCGGUGGUAAGCCGGAGGAAGGUGGGGAUGACGUCAAGUCCUCAUGGCCCUUACGGGUAGGGCUACACACGUGCUACAAUGGCAGUGACAAUGGGAUAAUCCCAAAAAGCUGUCUCAGUUCAGAUUGUCCUCUGCAACUCGAGGGCAUGAAGGUGGAAUCGCUAGUAAUCGUGGAUCAGCAUGCCACGGUGAAUACGUUCCCGGGCCUUGUACACACCGCCCGUCACAUCAUGGGAAUUGGUUCUACCCGAAGAUCGUGCGCUAACUUCGGAGGCAGCGAGCCACGGUAGGAUCAGUGACUGGGAUGAAGUCGUAACAAGGUAGCCGUAGGGGAACCUGCGGCUGGAUCACCUCCUUUCUAA
rnacentral:rRNA from 1 species